GUUAUAGGAUCAAGCGACUAAGUGCACAUGGUGGAUGCCUUGGCGAUUACAGGCGAUGAAGGACGUGGUAGCCUGCGUAAAGCGGUGGGGAGCUGGCAAACAAGCUUUGAUCCACCGAUCUCCGAAUGGGGCAACCCACGGCAGCGAUGCCGGAUCCGGCGCUCAAUACAUAGGCGCCUGGAGGCGAACCGGGUGAACUGAAACAUCUCAGUAGCUCGAGGAAAAGAAAUCAACCGAGAUUCCGAAAGUAGCGGCGAGCGAAAUCGGACCAGUCUUGACGUUUUAGCGUUAACGAUAGUCGAACGGAAUGGAAAGUCCGGCCGUAGCAGGUGAUAGCCCUGUAGGCGAAAUCGUUUUCGUGGAACUAGGCGUCAGAGAAGUAGGGCGGGACACGUGAAAUCCUGUCUGAAGAUGGGGGGACCAUCCUCCAAGACUAAAUACUCGUAAUCGACCGAUAGUGAACCAGUACCGUGAGGGAAAGGCGAAAAGAACCCCGGAAGGGGAGUGAAAUAGAUCCUGAAACCGUGUGCAUACAAACAGUAGGAGCGGGCUUGUUCCCGUGACUGCGUACCUUUUGUAUAAUGGGUCAGCGACUUACAUUCAGUGGCAAGCUUAACCGAAUAGGGAAGGCG
rnacentral:rRNA from 1 species